CAGCGCGUUUGUCUAUUUGUAAGUGUUGUGGCUUUUGCAGCGCGUUUGUCUAUUUGUAAGUGUUGUGGAGGUUGCAGCGCGUUUGUCUAUUUGUAAGUGUUGUGGCUUUUGCAGCGCGUUUGUCUUUUUGUAAGUGUUGUGGAGGUUGCAGCGCGUUUGUCUAUUUGUAAGUGUUGUGGAGGUUGCAGCGCGUUUGUCUUUUUGUAAGUGUUGUGGAGGUUGCAGCGCGUUUGUCUAUUUGUAAGUGUUGUGGCUUUUGCAGCGCGUUUGUCUUUUUGUAAGUGUU